rnacentral:rRNA from 1 species
AGUGAACGCUGGCGGUAGGCCUAACACAUGCCAGUCGAACGGCAGCACAGUAAGAGCUUGCUCUUACGGGUGGCGAGUGGCGGACGGGUGAGGAAUACAUCGGAAUCUACUUUUUCGUGGGGGAUAACGUAGGGAAACUUACGCUAAUACCGCAUACGACCUACGGGUGAAAGCAGGGGAUCUUCGGACCUUGCGCGAUUGAAUGAGCCGAUGUCGGAUUAGCUAGUUGGCGGGGUAAAGGCCCACCAAGGCGACGAUCCGUAGCUGGUCUGAGAGGAUGAUCAGCCACACUGGAACUGAGACACGGUCCAGACUCCUACGGGAGGCAGCAGUGGGGAAUAUUGGACAAUGGGCGCAAGCCUGAUCCAGCCAUACCGCGUGGGUGAAGAAGGCCUUCGGGUUGUAAAGCCCUUUUGUUGGGAAAGAAAAGCAGCAGGUUAAUACCCCGCUGUUCUGACGGGACCCAAAGAAUAAGCACCGGCUAACUUCGU